GCACGGGGGUUGCGCCAGGCCCGUUGCCCGGGGAAGGGUGGAAGGACCGUGCCCGCGUCUGUGGGCGCAGGCGGCCCUUUCCCGUGAGGGAAAUGGGUGCACGCCGUACCAAGGCACCAAAAGCUCUGGUCGAUCGUCUUGCACCUGUUCUUUAAGGUUUUCUUACGUCACUGCCUGAAAUGGAUCCGUAUUCUUGCUUUUCCUGAGGUUCCUGGGAAAUUAAGACUUCAAGAAAAGUUUCUCUUCAGUCGUGACAGAGUAUGACUCUGGCUGAUGCUUGGUCUUCCAAUUCAUGCUGCAAAUACUGAAAGGCUCCUCUCCAGCCAACCAAUACAGAAAUAUAUACCUGAAAUUUUGCAUAGUUUUUUAACCCUAAAGUCAGAUUAUUAAAUUUUAGGAGCUUUGUGAAAUUAUACAUGGAAUUUAGGGUAAAAAACCCUAAACUGGUUAAUAGGGAGUAAAAAUAUUUAAAAUUGUCAUUCUAUUACAAUGCUGGAAACACUGUAUCGUAAAAUAAUACGUAGUGCAGUAGAAGUACCAUUUUUCUGAACUCUGUUUCCCUUUUAUUCAGAAUUAGGAAAUGUUUCUAGAUAUAUUAGUGAAAAGUAGUGGUAUUUUUUUCAAAUAUUAUUAUCUAAAAGGUUCUGUUUCAUUGUUAAAACAGCAAAUAUAAGUAUCAUGAAAUAAAAAUCUGCAUUUGAGAAUUUAGGAAAAUAAACGCUGCAAAA